AUACAUAGGGUGCAAGCGUUAUCCGGCAUUAUUGGGCGUAAAGCGUGCGUAGGCGGUUUAUUAAGUCUGAUGUUAAAUCCCACAGCUCAACUGUGGGCUGCCAUUGGAAACUGGUAGACUUGAGGGCGGUAGAGGUAAGUGGAAUUCCAAGUGGAGCGGUGGAAUGCGUAGAUAUUUUGAGGAACACCAGUGUCGAAGGCGGCUUACUGGGCCGUUACUGACGAUGAGGCACGAAAGCGUGGGGAGCAAACAGGAUUAGAUACACUGGUAGUCCACGCCGUAAACGAUGAGCACUAAGUGUCGGAUGAAUUUUCGGCGCUGCAGUUAACACAAUAAGUGCUCCGCCUGGGGAGUACGGUCGCAAGACUGAAACUUAAAGGAAUUGACGGGG
rnacentral:rRNA from 1 species